rnacentral:rRNA from 1 species
GACGAACGCUGGCGGCGUGCCUAAUACAUGCCAGUUGAGCGCUGAAGGCUGGUACUUGUACCAACUGGAUGAGCAGCGAACGGGUGAGUAACGCGUGGGGAAUCUGCCUUUGAGCGGGGGACAACAUUUGGAAACGAAUGCUAAUACCGCAUAAAAACUUUAAACACAAGUUUUAAGUUUGAAAGAUGCAAUUGCAUCACUCAAAGAUGAUCCCGCGUUGUAUUAGCUAGUUGGUGAGGUAAAGGCUCACCAAGGCGAUGAUACAUAGCCGACCUGAGGGGGUGGUCGGCCACAUUGGGACUGGGAACACGCCCAAACUCCUACGGGAGGCAGCAGGAGGGAAUCUUCGGGAAUGGACGGAAGUCUGACCGGGCAACGCCGCGUGAGUGAAGAAGGUUUUCGGAUCGUAAAAAUCUGUUGGUAGAGAAGAACGUUGGUGAGAGUGAAAAGCGCAUCAAGUGACGGUAACUACCCAGAAAGGGACGGCUAACUACGUG